GCAGACGUAUGAGUCCCAACUCCACCCAGUCCGGCCUGGCCUCUGUCCCCGGGUGACCGCGGAAUGGGGGGGCGGGAGCUAGCGAGCAGGCCCUCAAGCGCGUCUGGCCGCCUCCUUUGUCUUGAUGCCCACGUCUGGUUAGGACCCCUGCUGUCCAUUUUAUUAAAGGAGCUGUAGAAAGCGGCCUGGGGCCCAGCGACCUGCCCAGGGCGGACGAGGAGGCGCGACUGGCCCGAUGCCGCAGGCUCUCUGCCCAGUGUGCUCAGGUGGGAGGGCGGGGACAUGAAUCGAGCCACAGAGUGCCCUGGGCACGGACCCCCCGCCCCCCCCGGCCCCGGGCCCCGAGCCCCGAGCCCCGAGCCCGGCCACCGAAGCCCGUGCCACUCGCCAGCUCCUGCGAGACGAGCCUUUCGAGCGCAGCUCAGGCAUUUGGUUCAGGGUCCUACUGCCGGAGUCGUCUGAGGCCUCCAUCCGUCUGUCGUCACGAAAAAGGUUUUGGGGGGACUAAUAAGCACUUCCUGAAUGCACAUUUGCUCCACGCCCCUGCUGUAGGGAGAGGGUCUGCAGACACUUCAACAAAUAGAAUCCUAGGACCUUACCUGUGAGUACAAGAGCUGGAAUCUUCCCACCAACUUCUUAAAAUUCAAUCCUAUACUUGGUCCAUUUAGCUUAGACUGGAAAUUUCCCAAGGCAGUUUGUUUUGCAAUCUUUUGCAUGAUUUUAGCUCUGUAUAGUUUAGUGAAUGUUUAUGGUACUGAAUAAAACAGUCUAAAAACGUUGGGUACAUGUUGCUGUUUUAUUUAGUUCAACCAAAGUUUAUAAAAGUAGGACAUAAUACGUUUUCCACUUAAGAGUGAGACAGCCUUUAUUAUGAAACGGUAAAUUGUUAGGAAUACUAGUCCUAUUCAAGUUUCAAGGCUUAUUCCUAAUAAAAUACUCAAACUGUGGUUAAAAUUUAUGUUAAUGGUGGUUUGCCGCAGUAAAAUAUCAGCGUCUUUUUCAACAAUACAUUGUUGGCUAAAAUUAACCGGACCUGGUCUGUACAUCUGAAGUAUAAAAUAUCUUUAUUAAACAUACCCAUUAGUGGCAUACCUAGUCAAAAAGUAAGCAGAAUUUCACAUGCAAAUUGUAUACAAUCUGUAAAAAUUGUAUUCCAUAAGAAUGUGACAGUUGAGUACGGUUUUUGGGGGGCUUUUUUGGUGUACCAUAAUAAUGUCAUCUGGUUUCUUUUCUGAACAUCCAGUCACCAUAAUGUCCGGCUUGUAACUUUAGUAGAUCGUAGAUUGUAUUAUUUUGGUAUCCCCAACAGCUCUUGUACAGUGCCUUGCUCAUAGAAGGUACUUAGCUGUUUAGUAAAUGCCGUUUAAAAAAAAAAUCCCGAUCCAUUUUCUUUUCUUUUUUUUGGGGGGGGGUGGUGGGGGAAAGAGUUUCGCUCUUAUUGCCCAGGCUGGAGUGCAAUGGCGUGAUCUUGGCCCACUACAACCGACUGAACACCUCCUAGGUUUAAGCGAUUCUCCUGUCUCAGCCUCCCAAGUAACUGGGAUUACAGGCGCCCGCCACCACGCCCAGCUAAUUUUUGUAUUUUUAGUAGAGAUGGCAUUUCACCACGUUGGCCAGGCUGGUCUCAAACUCCUGACCUUAGGUGAUCCACCCGCCUCGGCCUCCCAAAGUGCCAGGAUUAUAAGCGUGAGCCACCGCGCCUGGCCUGAAUAACCAGAAGUCCUAGAUUUCCAGGGACAUUCCAAAUUUCAAGUAAUCUUUUCAAUUCACAAAUCAGGACCCAAAUUAUUCCAAUUUGCAGUUCAUCUUUCAUUUAUCAAUUGUGCAUACUUUUAAGAUAAAAGAGCACCACGUGGGGGAGAUAAAGAGCCAAAGGAAUAUGGUAAGAGGGGCACUGGAUAGAUUAAUUAGUUUAUCUUUUUUUUUUUUUUUUUUUUUUUUUGAGACGGAGUCUUGCUCUGUUGCCAGGCUGGAGUGCAGUGGCAUGAUCUUGGCUCACUGCAGCUUCUGCCUCCCAGGUUCAAGGGAUUCUCCUGCCUCAGCCUCCCAAGUAGGUGGGACUACAGUUGUGCGCCACCAUGCCCAGCUAAUUUUUGUAUUUUCAGUAGAGACAGGGUUUCACCAUGUUGGCCAGACUGGUCUGGAUCUCCUGACCUCGUGAUCUGCCCGCCUUGGCCUCCAAAGUGCUGGGAUUACAGGCAUGAGCCACCGCGCCCGGCUCUUUUAUCUUUUGAGACGGUCUGGCUCUGCAGCCAAGGAUGGAGUACCGUGACACAAUCACAGCUCACUGCAGUCUCGACCUCCUGGGCUCAAGCAAUCCUCCAGCCUCACCCUCCUCAGUAGCUGGGACCACAGGCAUGCACCACCACACCUGGCUAAUCUUUACAUUUUUUUUAUAGAAGUGGAGUCUCGCUAUGUUCCUCAGGCUGAUCUCAAACUCCUGGCCUCCCAGAGUGCUGGGAUUACAGGUAUGAGCCACUGCACUCAGCACCAAAAUAAUUUUUUAAAACUAUAUACCCCCUGGCCAGACGUGGUGGCUCACACCUGUAAUCCCAGCACUUUGGGAGGCCGAGGCAGGCGGAUCACGAGGUCAGGAGAUCAAGACCAUCCUGGCUAACACGGUGAAACCCCGUCUCUACUAAAAAUACAAAAAAUUAGCCAGCGCAGUGGCACGUGCCUGUAGUCCAAGCUACUUGGGAGGCUGAGGCAGGAGAAUCACUUGAACCCUGGAGGUGGGGGUUGCAAUGAGCCGAGAUAGCGCCACUGCACUCCAGCCUGGGCGACAGAGGGAGACUCCAUCUCAAAAAAAAAAACAACUAUAUACCCCCUAGGUGUAUCUUUAAAGUUUUUCAUCAUUAGCGUAGUAGUAGCAAAUUAUGAAACUUUCAGCAUAAAUACUGACAUUUAAAAUUAAAGCUGUUAGGUCAUUAUUUUAAAGUUUUCCAAUAGAGUAUAAAUACCUCAAAGAUUUGACAGCCACAGUGGUAGCCCAGCCUCCAAGAUGGCCCCCAAUGAUGCCUGCUUCCUCUUCUACACUGGGCCAUAGUUGGUCUGUGACCACUAGCAUGCAGCCGAAGUGAUGUCACUUCUGAGGUUAGGACACAAGAAACUCUGUCCUCCAUCUCAGGUGCUCUCUUGCUUGCUUGUUUCCUCUUGAAUCACACACUCUGGGGGAAGCCAGCUUUCAUGUCAUGAGAACACUCAGGAAAACUAUGGAGAGGUCCAAUAGAACAGGUCAGCAGCCAACAAACACCAAGGAGCUGCCAAAGACUAUGUGAGUGAGCUUGGAAGGAAUUCAGCCCCAGGCAAGCUUUAAGAUCACUGCAGCCCCUGACCUACCAUCUGACUAUAACUAAGCUACUCCCAGAUUCCUCAGCCUCAGAAGCUGGGAGAUAAGUGUUCGUGGUUCUAAAGCUCCUAAAUUAGGGGUAAUUUGUUACACAGCCACUAUCAUCUGUUCAAAAAAAUACGUAAACAAGUUGAUGGGAUCCUGGGUUCUUAACACCUGAAGUGAUGCUUUUAAUUUAGGAUUUAAUAAAGAUAAUUAAAAAUAUUUCCUGAGGUUCCCCAAUCCCAUGCUGUGGAAUUAAUUAUUCAUAAUUUAGAUACCGCAAGUGAAUUUAAGAGUAAACAUUUGCAGUUAUUAAACACAUGAGCCACAUAUGGUUCUGCAGUUAACUACCAAACCCACACAAGUACCAGUAAAACCUUGUCUAAAUGACCAGAGAACUAACUGGUUCUGGCUGGGUGUUUUGUUUCCUUCUAUCUAUUUCUCUAGCUCUAUUUCUCUUAUUAGCCAAUUUUGUCUUACACCAACCCCACCAGUUUUUAUAGAUGGAUAGAGCCAUCCUCACUGUUUCUAAAAUGGUAAUUAUUCCUGCAUUUGUAUGCUUUUUUGCUGAUGAACAAAUCUGUGGAAAGCAGUCGCUUUAAGUAUGAGUCAACCCACAAAUAAGACAACAGAUGCCACUUAAUGAAAAAUAGGACUUUAUACAAAGUCAUGUGCCAAGAACUCUAAUUUCUAAGGUUUUGGUUAAGAAAUUUUAACCCAUUUUAGAAAAAAUCAACCUUUUUUUUUUUUUUUUUUUUGAGACGGAGUCUUGCUCUGUCGCCAGGCUGGAGUGCAGUGGCGCGAUCUCAGCUCACUGCAACCUCCGCCUCCCGGGUUCAAGUGAUUCUCCUGCCUCAGCCUCCCGAGUAGCUGGGACUACAGGCAUGCGCCACCACGCCCAGCUAAUUUUUGUAUUUUUAGUAGAGACGGGGUUUCACCAUAUUGUCCAGGAUGGUUUCAAUCUCUUGACCUCAUGAUCCGCCCACCUCGGCCUCCCAAAGUGCUGGGAUUACAGGCAUAAGCCACCGUGCCCGGGCAAAAUCAACCUUUUAGAAAAAUGACAAAUAUGCAUGGGACAAAGCAGAGACAUCUGCAGAUCCUCACUGAUGAACAGAUGAUUUUGGGGGGAAUUUUUUUUAAUUGUUAUAAAGUCUCCUUUCUUUCUUUUUUUUUUUUAGAGACAGGGUUUCACCAUGUUGCCCAGGUUGGUCUCGAAUUCCUGGGCUCAAGCGAUCCACCCACCUCGGCCUCCUAAGGUGCUAGGAUUACAGGUGUGAGCCACCACAUCCCACUGAUAUGAACCACCAUUGUGUGCAGAAGUAUCAUACAUCCUACAUAUUGUAUGCCACAUAAAAUAUGGAGCUGUGUCUGUUCUUUUCCUUCUUAAAUCCCUGCCUCUCUCCCUUGAGAUCUCGGGGUAAUUGAACCACAUGAAUAACUGAACUUAGAGAGCAGACUAGAUAAAGAGAACAAAUGGAAACUUGUGCUGGUUUGAAAUUACCUCAGGUCUGAAGUGGCCAGAAGUCAUUACUCUUGGGUUGACAGGCCCCAGAGAGGAGACUCUCACCAAUUACCCUCCAGUUCCACAGCAGCCAGAGACCUUAAUUGAAAAGCUGUUCUACUUAGGGCUCUUCAGAAAAACCGAACUUGAUUGUUCAAUGUUUAAAUUCUGAAAAUUUUACUAAUAUUUUAAGAAUUAUACCAAAGAGAUACACAUUAUACCUUUGGCCUCAAAGAAAUUAUACUCUAAAAGAUAGAUAUAUAUAAACACACAAACACCCAAAUGCAUCAGGAAAAAUAAGGAUCAUGGAUUUUUUUCACGUUAACUUUUUGGGUUUGUGUUUUUUUUGAGAUGGGGUCUCGGUCUGCCACCCAGGGUGGAAUGCAGUAGCACAAUCUCGGCUGACUACAACCCCUGUCUUCUGGGUUCAAGCGAUUGCUUGUGCCUCAGCCUCCCGAGUAGCUGGGACUACAGGCGUGCACCACCAUGCCCAACUAAUUUUUAUAUUUGUAUAACAGUGGAGAUGGGGUUCCACCAUGUUGCCCAGGCUGGUCUUGAAUUCCUGGCCUCAGAUGAUCUGCCCACCUCAGCCUCCCAAAGUGCAGGGAUUAUAGGUGUGAGCUAUCACGCCUGGCCCACAUUAACUUUUUAAAAUAAAUUUUCAUUUUAGAAAAAUUUCAGAUUUACCGAAAAGUUGCAAAGAUAGUAUGGAGUUCCUGUUUCACCCAGCUUCCUAAAUGUUGACCAUGAUGAUCAUGGUAUGUUUGUUAAACUAAAAAAAUAAUACUGGUACAAUACUAGUAACUAAACUGCAGACAUUUGGAUUUUUUUUUUUUUUUUGAGACGGAGUCUUGCUCUGUCACCCAGGCUGUAGUGCAGUGGUGCGAUCUUGGCUCACUGCAACCUCCUUCUCCCGGGUUCAAGUGAUUCUCCUGCCUCAGCCUCCCAAAUAGCUGGGACUGCAGGCUUGUGCCACCAUGGCCGGCUAAUUUUUGUAUUUUCAGUAGAGAUGGGGUUUCACCAUAUUGGCUAGACUGGUCUCAAACUCCUGACUUCAGAUGAUCUGCCUGCCUCUGCCUCCCAAGUGUUGGGAUUACAGGUGUGAGCCACCACACUGGCCGGAUUUUUUUAUUUUUUAAUGUGCCUUACGGUCUUUAAGAAAUUUUGGGGCCAGGCACAGUGGCUUACUCCUAUAAUCCCAGCACAUUGGCAGGCUAAGGAGGGAUUGCUUGAGCCCAGGAGUUCAAGAUCAGCCUGGGCAACAAAUAAAAAAAAUUAGCCAGGCAUGGUGGCACAUGCCUGUGGUCCCAGCUACUCAAGAGGCUGAGGCUGAGGCAGGAAGAUCACUUGAGCCCAGGAAGUCAAGGCUGCAGUGAGCCAUGUUUGUGCCACUGCACUCCAGCCUGGGCAACAGAGUGAAACCCUGUCUCAAAAUAGAUAAUUAAAUUAAAUUUAAAAUUAUGAUAAAAUACACAUAACACAAAAUUUACCAUCAACAUUCAAUACAUUUACAGUGCUGUGCAAUCAUCACCACCAUCUGAUUCCAGAACAUUUUAAUCACCCCAAAAGGAAACCCCAUACCCAUUAAACCACCUUUCCCCCUCCUCCCAGUCCCUGGAAGCCACUAAUUGGACUGCAAUUUUGUCACUAAUGUCCUUUUUCUGUUCUAGGAUCUAACCCAGGAUACUACAUUGCAUUUAGUCACAUUACUGUUAUACUCUUUAGGUCAAAUAAAGCUAUUUUAAAUAUUUCAUUCUCGGCUGGGCACGGUGGCUCACGCCUGUAAUCCUAGCACUUUGGGAGGCUGAGGCAGGUGGAUCACCUGAGGUCAGGAGUUCAAGACCAUCCUGGGCAACAUGGUGAAACCCCGUCUCUACUAAAAAUACAAAAAUCAGCCAGGCGUGGCAGCAUGUGCCUGUAAUCCAAGCUACUUGGGAGGCUGAGGCAGGAGAAUCACUUGAACCUGGAAGGCAGAGGUCGCAGUGAGCUGAGACACUGCUACUACACUUAAAAAAAAAAAAACAAAAACUCUGCAGAAGCAAUAGUUAAUAUACUUAGUGGUGUUAAAGGAAACUGUCCAGCUCAAUCCCUCACUCUCUCUCCUUUGAACUAGUCCCUAUCAUUCCCAUAAUACCUGAAGUGACUUUCUUACCUCUGCUUCCUCUCCACCAGUACCUCUACCUGUCUUCCAUAACACCAGCUAAAUGUCUCCUAUCCAUGGGCUUUUUCUUGGUUCUUUUAUAGCCCGUCCUUCAUUUUAUCUUGCAUUGUUGCUUCUUGAUGGUAUUUUGGUAUUUUCUACCAAAGCACAAGUUCGUAAAGGUGAGGACCCUACUACCUUCCAUAUCAAAUAAGUGUUCUGCCUAAGGCAGUUAACAGUUAUUUAUGAAACAAAUAUCAUUAUCUGACAUACAGCCAGAUACCUCACAAUUUCCCUCAUCUAAAUAAAUUAGACAAUUUAAUGCUUAUAGCGGCAGAAUUGUGUCUCCCCUGCCCAAGAAAAUAAGUUCAAGUCCUAACCCCUGGUAUUAUGAAUGUGAUCUUAUUUGGAAACAGGGUCUUUGCAGAUGUAAUCAAGUUAAGAUGAGGUCAUACUGGAUUAGGCUGGGCCCUAAAUCCAAUGACUGAUGUCCCUGUAAGAAGAGAAGUGACACAGAGACACACAGAGAGAGCACCGUGAGAUGAUGGAUGCAGAGAUUAGAGUUAUACACCUACAAACUGAACACCAAAGAGCGCCACGACACCAGAAGCCAGGAAGAGGCAAGGAAAAGACUCUUCCCCUGGGCCUUCAGAGGGAGCAUGGCCCUGCAGACACCCUGAUUUUGGACUUCUGGCCUCUAGAACGGAGAGAAUAAAUUUCUCUUGGUUUUUAUUUUAUUUAUUUUUAUUUUUUAUUUUUUGGUUUGUUUGUUUUGUUUUUUUGAGACAGGUUCUCUCGCUCUGUCACCCAGGCUGGAGUGCAGUGGCGCCAUCUCGGCUCACUGCAGCCUCGAUUUCCUGGGCUCCAGCAAUACCCCCACCUCAGCCUCCUGAGUAGCAGGGACUACAGGCACAUGCCAGCCACCACGCCUGGGUAGUUUUUUUAGUUUUGGUAGAGACAAGGUUUCCCAUGUUGCCCAGGCUAGUCUCAAGCUCCUGAGCUUAAGCAAUCUACCCCACUGCGGCCUCCCAAAGUGCUAGGAUUACAGGUGGAGCCACCGCACCUGGCCAUUUAUCUUAUUUUAAGCUAUCCAGUUUGUGACAACUUAUCACAGCAGCGCUAAGAAAAUAUUACAAUGCUUAUGGAACACAGCCUAAGGUUACCUCCCCUUCUGCCCUUCUGCCUUUUCUCCUGAAAUUCCUCUUGCCUGGAAUAUCCUUGCUCUAUGUAUCCAGCUAUGAAAAACCUAAGCAUCCUUCACUGGCAUCUGAACGUUCUACUCACUGGCAUCUGAACAUUCUGAUUUGUAGAUUGCAGGUCUGCACCAUUUUUUAGUAGUCUUAGUCUUUUAAAGAUCCCAUUUAUUUUGUCACAGUUCUGGAGGCCAGAGUCCAAAAUCAAGCUGUCAAUUAUGCAAAUAUUUGGUCCUUCAAAGCCAUUCUUACAUAGGGUGAUGGAGUCAGGUAACCAGCAGAGAGCAGGGAGACUGUAAAAUUACAUCUUUUUCUAUUCCUGGCUACUUCUGAGUUCUGAUAGUAAAUCUCUUGUGAUUUAAUCAUUAUUCUUUUUUGUUUUUGAGACAGGGUCUAGCUCUGUCACCCAGGCUGGAGUGCAGUGGUGUGAACAUGGCUCACUGCAGCCUCGACCUCCCGAGCUCAGUGAUCCUCCCACCUCAGCCUCCUGAGUAGCUGUAACCACAGGCACGUGCUACCAGGCCCAGCUAAUUUUUUUUUUUUUGAGAUGGAGUCUCGCCCUGUUGCCCAGGCUGGAGUGCAGUGGCGUGAUCUCAGCUCACUGCAGCCUCUGCCUCCCAGGUUCACCCCAUUCUCCUGCCUCAGCCUCCUGAGUAGCUGGGAUUACAGGCGCACCACCACAUCCAGCUAAUUUUUGUGUGUGUAUAUAUAUAUAUAUUUUUUUUUAGUAGAGAUGGGGUUUCACCAUGUUGGCCAAGUUGGUCUCAAACUCCCGACCUCAGGUGAUCCACCCACCUCAGCCUCCCAAAGUGCUGGGAUUACAGGCGUGAGCCACUGCACCCAGCCAAUUUUUUAAUUUUUUUAUAGAGAUAGGGUCUUGCCUUGUUGCCCAGGUUGUUCUCAAACUCCUGGGCUCAAGCAAUCCUCCCGCCUUGGCCUCCUAAAGUGCUGGGAUCACAGGCAUGAGCCACUGUGCCUGGCCUGAUUUAAUUCUUCUUCUUCACCUGAUCCAGUUUUCUCCAUGAAGACUUGAGACCAAGUCACAGUAGGUUUGGACCCAAAUGUAUGCUGCUCCUCUCUCCCCAUGUUCUUUGCUUCUGUUCUUAGCCUGGGGUAAAGUCCUCCUUGUCCUGGGCCAGACAUACUGUCAAGAGAAAGCUUGGUAUUGGACUGACUCCAUUUAAAGAACCUUAUUUUAUGAAUCUGUCCCAGGAAAAUAUAGUAACUCGUUAACAGUUUUGAAUGAUUUGUUCUUUGCUUUUUGGCAAAUUUCAGUUUAUCCUUGCUAGAGGGAAAACAAUAAAAUCCACAAGUAAUUCCCAAUUUUCAACCUAGCCCAGCAAUUUAACCUCCUCACUCACUUUGCCAAGGCUACUAAUAAGUAGCUGUGUGCCUGGCCUGCUUUCCUUCUCUCCUCUCCCUGGUCCUGCCCAUUGGCAGGGAGCCUCUUGUGAGUCAUAAGAUGACCAAGAGAUCACACGGCGAGAGACUGAAAGAAAAGCAGCAAAGCCCUGGGUAAUCAAGGCCCUAAACGGAAAGUGUCAGGAUCUUGGGAUUAGGGGACUUGUCCAAAGUUACUCAACUAUGAAGAGUCAAGAUUCAAAUCCAGAGACAUCUGACUUCAUUUCCCUUCAUUAACAACCAUCUAAGGAAGUUCCUAUUACUUUGGGAACUCCUAGUAGCAGGUGGUUAAAAAAAACUCCUGGACAACAUACUAUGCUAUUUGAAUCAUCCUACUUCUUACGCGUUCCUCCAGGAUGCACUCUUCUCCCAUUCUGAAACUGACAGUUCUCUUUACAAACUGUGUAUGUUUCAUUCCUGGAUUGCAUCUGAGCUGCCGCCAUGGAACGGGCAUUGAGUUUUAGCGUGUGUGAUGUCCCAUGUGUUCAUUUUGUCUCCCCACACUAUAAACUUGAGAGGCAAGGCCAACUCUUUUAUGUCUUCAAAUGCUUUGCUGCCAAACACAGGAUUGGAAAUGGCCAACAAAGACUAAAAUGCUACUUCUCUACCCUUUUCACUAUGCCAUCUACUGGAAAUUUAAGCAAGACUUGCAGAGAUCACUUCAGGUUAUCUGUUCCCCUGCAAGAAACACUUGUGGUUUGGCCUGAAAUAGUUUUCUGCUGAUUCUUUCUCUACAGCCCUGAACCCUAAAAACAAAUGAAAUGCAUCAACACAAUACUAAAUGCCUACAUAUUAUUACUAUUAUGUCUUUAAAAAAAGAGUGAAAGCUUUUUCAUGUUUGCUUUAAAUCAACCAUGUAGAAACUGGAGGGACCAGUGAAGAGGAAUAGAGGGAAUGAACUCAAAUGCUCUAACUUGCAAUAGGACAGUUGGGUUCUUACUUUGACUCACCUGACCUUUACAACCAUUAGCCAGCUCACAUGAUGCCCAAACAAGUUGCUGAGCCUCCUGCCCAUCCUCUGUAUAUAUCCCUGGUUUCCUGUCUCAAGCUUUAGGCUAAUCUCCAUCAACACUGACCUCACAUGAAUACUAAAUGCAGAUGUCUGACCUCAUAUUUCUCUGCCAGUCAGAUCCCUGGCCUCUUUACUACAGACCUUAAGGACCAGUUCUCAAACUCAUCUCAUUGGCAUCUUUUCACAUCACGAAAUCUAUCUGGUCAGGAUUUGAAUAAAACUGUAUUUUUACUUUAAUACAAAAGAGUCAACAUGGG
rnacentral:lncRNA from 1 species